CCAUCACCACCUUCCAUUGGGAUUUGGUACACGGCUCUGAUACCAAGUUGUCAUGACCUGGGUAUAUGGUUAUGACUUAAGAAAGUAUGUAUUCGGAUUUGAGGGAAAAAGAGGGAGAGUGAGAGGAGAAAUAGAAAGAUUUGAGAAAGAUAAAGUAAGAACAUCAAGAGGAAUAGAUAGAAAAUCAGAGAGAAAAGAUAGAUAUUGAGAGAAAUAGGUAAAAAUGAGGGAGAUAAUGAUAAUAUAUUCAAAAUAUAUCAUUUAUUGAUUGAUUACAUAGAUAAAAAAUAUG
rnacentral:lncRNA from 1 species